rnacentral:lncRNA from 1 species
UCUCACCCGGCAAUUAAGCGCUGCAAAUAUCUCCUUAAAAAGGAAGAAAAGGAGGCAGAGCAGCAGAGCUCUGCCCCCCGCUGCGGCAAUGGGGCGCCCGUGCCCUGUAAGGCAGCGCCGCUCUAUUGAGCCUUCGCGGAAGGAAGCGGGGCUGGAAGCGUUGUACGAAGCGUUGUACGAAGCGAGACGUGCAGACGCACUCCCGGACCCGGGGCAGGGAAACGCCAACGCUCUGCUCACACAGCCCCACAGCUGCGCCCCUCACCCUGCAGCCAAAGGGCAGUGCGGGGCAGUGGGUGCUGCCGGGGCCAGAGAACACCCCGAGUGACAUCAGCUGACAUCACGGGGUGCAGUCCUCAGAUUGCGAGGAGCAGCGCUUGGAAGAAUUCUGUCCUCCCAGGUCCUUGUAGGGAAAACCACGGCGGCCACCAUCAGCAUCAUUGUGAGGAGGAACGAUCCGACUGCAGACAGCAGCAGGCUCAUGCUCCUUGUGCCAGGAGGACACAACCCCCCAUAGAGAGCCGUGGACACGGGGGGGUCUCUUUGACAGACCUUUAUUAGCAGACUGUUCCCUACAUGAAGACUCCGAGUUAGAUUUGCAUUAUAACAAUUUGUGGUUACAGCUACA